UACAGAGGAGCCAAGCGUUGUCCGGAAUUAUUGGGCGUAAAGAGCUCGUAGGUGGCUUGUCGCGUCGGGUGUGAAAGCUUGGGGCUUAACUCCAGGUCUGCAUUCGAUACGGGCUGGCUAGAGGUAGGUAGGGGAGAACGGAAUUCCUGGUGUAGCGGUGAAAUGCGCAGAUAUCAGGAGGAACACCGGUGGCGAAGGCGGGUCUCUGGGCCGAUACUGACGCUGAGGAGCGAAAGCGUGGGGAGCGAACAGG
rnacentral:rRNA from 1 species